CAUACAAAAAUACAAAGGUUUCCUCUUUAUAAUAUUAGUAUAGAUUGUAGAUGUAGGACUGCCCCGUCCCGUCGUUACCACGAUCCGUACAAUUAAGUGUAAAAAUAUUGACAAAUAAAACAAUCAAAUAAAUCGUGGUAUUUACCCCGUUAUCAACAUUAACAGCUGUGCUUAGUAAUUAAUUUAUUUUCUUAGGUAUUUUUUUCUUCUUUUUUUAUUACCAUAUGAAAAGCAAUAAUGAUGAUUUUUUCUAGAUCUAGAAAAAAUAAAAACCCUUGCAGCUUUAUUUUUCCAACCAUACGCGCGUUCGGUGUGCCUAUACACCUUUGCGAAUUGCGAGUCGCAAUAAACAUUUAGUACGCUUUUAUUAUAAGAAAAUAGGUAAUUCAGGGUUACUUAUUGUGAUUUGAUUGCGUUCAACCCUCGUUUCUAAUCCAAUACAGACCUUGGUCGGAAUCUGGGACAAUUAUCUCUGCUUUAUUCAAGCUCCGACCAGCUGUAAAGAUAUCUAUUAGGGGCUCAUUUUAUCUUGUGGUUAAUUAAUCAGUUUUAAGCCUAAUGGUUUAACCAUCUUGGAUUUGUAAUUAUUAUUUAAAUUAUUAUUUAAUGUCUAAAUUAUUAUUUAAACUAGUCUUUACUAUAAUAAUAUUAUAAAACUAACAUUAUUUGUUCCUUUGUUUGUUUGCUUGUACCAAAUCGAUAAACUCUGAAACCUAUUUCAAUAAUUCUGUCACCAUUUGAAAGCUACUUUAUGUAGAAGUAACAUUAUAUCAUAUUAAUAAGUACCUAUAUUUCACCCGAGAAAAGCCGGGUGGAUCAGUUAGUAAUUCAUAAAACUGCGGCAGUUUAUAAUGCACCAAAACUAUUAAAACUGUACUAUUUUAAUUAAACUACGAGUACCUAUGUGUUGAAUUCUUAUUUUGUAUAGUUAGGUACGUUAUUUGUACAUAUUUUAGUUAAAUGAAUCUGAUCUGUAUUAGAGUUGGGCUAAAGAAGUAUUAAUAAAAUAGUAGGCAUUGUUUUCUUAUUUCUAGUAUAUUGUUUAGUUGUUAAAAAGGAUACAUAUUACAUAUACAUAUAGAAUUUAUGGGUCAAGGCUGGUAAGUAAUAACUAUAGAUGACAUACAUAUUUUACAUGGAUAUUAUCUAUAGCUAUAUAUAUUUUCUAUACGUAUAUACUUCUAUGUAAUUAAGUUGUGUUGUAUUGAAUACAAGAAUUAUGUUCAUUUCCAAAACGGAUAAAAUAUAUAUUGAACGAGCUAAUGGCAAAAUAAUUUUGUGACCAUAAAUUUUAGCUGUAACUGCAAUUGUUAUACCUAGUCAUGCAAAUAAGUGCAAUCUAAACUGUAAAUACUACUGUAAUUUUAUGCAAAUUGGACAUAAUGUGCUAUUUAAAUGCUUAUUUUCCCAUUAUGACGUGAAAUAUAUACCUAUACUUAUUCAUUUAAUGCUGCUGUCAUAUAUCUAAAAAGCGGUUAAUUAUGCAAACUAGUUUUUGAGUUAUCACCAAAAAACGUGUUAAUAUUCAAACCUACAAACAAAGGUUUUAACUUAGUUAUUAGCUUGGUAUAGCGUGGUAG